rnacentral:lncRNA from 1 species
UCAGUGUGUAAUCCCCGAAAAAAUGAACAGACAGUAAAUAGAUAAUCACAGUCUUGGCUUAAUCCCUUUUCAAUAUCAGUAUCAGUUCAAUUUGGGCCUUAGCCCAUCUCAGUACAAAAACAGUCAUGCAGUAGGGCUUUAGCCCAUCACAAUAUCAGUAGAAAUAACAGAUAUGCAGUCACAAAAAUCCUACCCAUCCA